rnacentral:misc_RNA from 1 species
CCCAACUAUCCCUAUUAAUCAUUACGUCGAUCCUAGAAACCAACAAAAUAGGUUCGAUCGUCCUAUUUCGUUAUUCCAUGCUAAUGUAUUCAAGCGCGAGCCUGCUUUAAGCACUCUAAUUUUUUCAAAGUAACAGUCCUGUUUCCCCGCAACAACAAAUUAAUGCCAUCACGGUUCUACAAGAGGGAGGGACCAGUGAGGCCAGUGCAUACCAGUGGCACGACCAACCUACUGGCCCCGAAAUUCAACUACGAGCUUUUUAACUGCAACAACUUUAAUAUACGCUAUUGGAGCUGGAAUUACCGCGGCUGCUGGCACCAGACUUGCCCUCCAA